rnacentral:piRNA from 1 species
UNCAAUUGCUGAGGAUCUGAACUUGCUGUG